rnacentral:rRNA from 1 species
UUGGAGGGCAAGUCUGGUGCCAGCAGCCGCGGUAAUUCCAGCUCCAAUAGCGUAUAUUAAAGUUGUUGCAGUUAAAAAGCUCGUAGUUGAACCUCGGAAUCAAUGGAUUGGUCAUGCCGUUGGUAUGUACUGGUCAUAUUGGUUCUCACCUUCUAAGGAACCAUAAUGUCAUUCAUUUGAUGUUUUGGGGAAUUAGGACUGUUACCUUGAAAAAAUUAGAGUGUUUAAAGCAGGCUAACGCUUGAAUACAUUAGCAUGGAAUAAUGAAAUAGGACAUCGCAUUCUAUUUUGUUGGUUUCUAGGAUCGAUGUAAUGAUUAAUAGGGAUAGUUGGGGGCAUUAGUAUUCAAUUGUCAGAGGUGAAAUUCUUGGAUUUAUUGAAGACUAACUACUGCGAAAGCAUUUGCCAAGGAUGUUUUCAUUAAUCAAGAACGAAAGUUAGGGGAUCGAAGACGAUCAGAUACCGUCGUAGUCUUAACCAUAAACUAUGCCGACUAGGGAUCGGACGAAGUUAAUUUUAUAAUGACGCGUUCGGCGCCUUACGGGAAAC